GACGAACGCUGGCGGCGUGCCUAAUACAUGCAAGUUGAGCGCUGAAGGUUGGUACUUGUACCAACUGGAUGAGCAGCGAACGAGUGAGUAACGCGUGGGGAAUCUGCCUUUGAGCGGGGGACAACAUUUGGAAACGAAUGCUAAUACCGCAUAAAAACUUUAAACACAAGUUUUAAGUUUGAAAGAUGCAAUUGCAUCACUCAAAGAUGAUCCCGCGUUGUAUUAGCUAGUUGGUGAGGUAAAGGCUCACCAAGGCGAUGAUACAUAGCCGACCUGAGAGGGUGAUCGGCCACAUUGGGACUGAGACACGGCCCAAACUCCUACGGGAGGCAGCAGUAGGGAAUCUUCGGCAAUGGACGAAAGUCUGACCGAGCAACGCCGCGUGAGUGAAGAAGGUUUUCGGAUCGUAAAACUCUGUUGGUAGAGAAGAACGUUGGUGAGAGUGGAAAGCUCAUCAAGUGACGGUAACUACCCAGAAAGGGACGGCUAACUACGUG
rnacentral:rRNA from 1 species